rnacentral:lncRNA from 1 species
GUCUACAGAUUAAAGAGUCAAGUCAAAAUAAAACCAACACUUCAUGCUAGUGUCUUGCUGCAAUCCUCAACUUGCACACCCUGUGGCUCUCGUGUUGGGAUCAAUCCUACAGCUUUCCUUAAACAAUUAUAAACUUCUUCACCAAGAACCACUGAAGAUGUGCUCUUGCAAGGUUGCAGUGUUUGAACCAGAAACAUGCAUGGUAUUCAGUCUUCCAAACAGAAAAUUUCCGAGUGCCACUUGGCUCUCGCCAUGGCACAGUAUUAACAAACUGGCCUCUAGGAGACGAUUUCAACCCCAGACCACCAAAACUCUCUCUAACAUUGAUCUUGUCUCUCUUUCUCCAGGUCCUUUGGCCAUCGAGAUUUCUCUGGAUAUUUUAUGAGUAGUGGUGGACAGGGACAACUUGACGUUAGAAAUUACAGAGAAAGUUUGUCACAUGCAAGCUUGCUGCAAAGUCUCUGACAUGUGGUAAUCAUGACAACUGGAUUUCAUUUACUCUAAUACACUAUGAAAUGGCUACACCUGGACAGCAGGUGGAACUAACAGAAAUGGAUGUAACCACCAUUGAAUGGCUGAAAGAUGACUUCCAUCUCCCUUGAUACAGCGCACUCCAAGUGUUUUCAUGCCUAUUAAAAUUUGGAGAGCACUGACUUAAUGCACAAAAUAAUCUAACCUGGAGAGAAGCAUUUUGCCAAUGAAGAAAGUGAGGCCCAUCUGAAUUUCCCAAAUUCACACAGUGAUUAGUUCUGUUCGGGAUUCAUGUCUGCUUACCACCCGCAUCUCCAAAACCAUAUGACUACCUUACCAGGAGCAGAGGCGCUAAAUCCCAGUAUAGGCAAGAAGUGUCCAUCAUUCAGCUUUAGAGAAAAGAGUCUCAUUUGACUCAUCUUUCACUCUUUUGGGCAAACAACCAUUGAUUUUCUUCUUCAUUAACAGAAAACUGCAGAGCGAAGAAAAUAAUACAAUUGAUAUAUUUUUUAACAGCUUUAAUGAGAUAUGGGUCACAUACCAUAAAAUCACCCCCUUUAAAUAAUACAAUUCAGCAGUUCAAGUAUAUUUAUAGAGUUGUUACCACUAUACAACUUCAGAGCAUUGUCAUCAUCUGCAAAGAAUCCUCUGGGGAGUUUUUAGCAUGCCCAUAGCUCAGCAUUCCCCAGGUGAAUUCAAUCAGAAUCCCUGUGGCGGGAUGGAGGAGGGAGACGCCAGGCAGCAGUUUUUCA